rnacentral:rRNA from 1 species
AAAUCCCCGGGCUUAACCUGGGAACUGCAUUUGGAACUGGAAGGCUAGAGUGUAGCAGAGGGGGGUAGAAUUCCACGUGUAGCAGUGAAAUGCGUAGAGAUGUGGAGGAAUACCGAUGGCGAAGGCAGCCCCCUGGGCUAACACUGACGCUCAUGCACGAAAGCGUGGGAGCAAACAGGAUUAGAUACCCUGGUAGUCCACGCCCUAAACGAUGUCAACUAGGUGUUGGGGAAGGAGACUUCUUUAGUACCGCAGCUAACGCGUGAAGUUGACCGCCUGGGGAGUACGGUCGCAAGAUUAAAACUCAAAGGAAUUGACGGGGACCCGCACAAGCGGUGGAUUAUGUGGAUUAAUUCGAUGCAACGCGAAAAACCUUACCUACCCUUGACAUGUCAGGAAGUUUCCAGAGAUGGAUUCGUGCCCGAAAGGGAACCUGAACACAGGUGCUGCAUGGCUGUCGUCAGCUCGUGUCGUGAGAUGUUGGGUUAAGUCCCGCAACGAGCGCAACCCUUGCCAAUAAUUGCCAUCAUUCAGUUGGGCACUUUAUUGGGACUGCCGGUGAUAAACCGGAGGAAGGUGGGGAUGACGUCAAGUCCUCAUGGCCCUUAUGGGUAGGGCUUCACACGUAAUACAAUGGUCGGUACAGAGGGUUGCCAACCCGCGAGGGGGAGCUAAUCUCAGAAAGCCGAUCGUAGUCCGGAUUGUUCUCUG